ACUGUCAGCGGACAGAUUAGCGACGAAAUAAGCGACAGUUUACUGCCAUAUUAGCAUCUUUUAAAUGAAUAUAUGAAAUAUUUAUUCCUUAAAUACAUACCUUGUAUUUCUUGUAAGUACAGGUUAGCUAUGCGUCUUUACACAAUACUUAGCUAGUUGUUGUUAAUUAGCAUAUUAACCAUAAGGACAGCUGCUAGCUUACCUGCUAAUUUAUACUUUUGUUUUAGCUUCAUGUUUAUGCGAAGACUCGUUAUUAGGGCCGACCUGACUGUUGAGCAGCACUAAACUACAAUGAGAGACGCAGCACCAGAGGAAGUAAAACUGAUGCCACCUGCAUUAAACAAGAGGACACUGAACAGCAACAACGAGCCACAGCAGACAACCCCCCAAGAGAUGGAAUGCACACUUGCAAAUCAGGAGAAAUCUCCACCAUCAGAGAAAAAUGCUCCAUCUGAAAUGUCUGCUUUGGAGUCCGCUUGUUCAUUUGAGGAUACAGCUACAGGCACGAGUAGAGAGAUCAGCAUGCUGGC